rnacentral:lncRNA from 1 species
CUUAAAUUGACAGUAAUGUGAGAAAUAGCAUAAUUUAUAAUGAACUUGAAAGGCAGUAGCACUCACUGUUGCUCAAGCUAAUCAAGGGACUAUCAAAUCAAGGUUUUAAUAUGAGCUUAAAUAUAUGUGGCAGGAAGGUAGUUCUUGCGGGCUUCUGUCUGUCAGUUCCAAGCACUAAACCUGUCAGAGUGCAACAUGGUCGUGUCACUUUUAACCAAGAUGUCACAUAUAUUGUGAGAAACAACCUGCUUUGUGUUUUCUCCUCUAGGAUUUUGCUGGGAAAAGCAAAUGUAAAAGGAAUUUUUUUUUUAACACUGCAUUUUUAUUUUGCAGAUUCUCAGGCUGAUGGAGUGAGUGACAGAGUGGGUUGCCAACUCGAGUGACUCCACUCAGCGUACACAGUGGCUACGGGGGAUAGAUUCAGACAUGCCCAAAGAAGUCUGCCCAGGGGGAGACUCAUACCUUUGAGGUUUAAAUCAGGUGUGUGAAGAAUGCUGGAAACAUGACUUUCUGGAGUUUGGUCUGGGUUGGUUUGGUUUUUUUGUUUUUGUUUUUCAAGGAAAGUGGGAAGCUUGGUGGCUCUUGCCUGUUCUUCCAACUCUUUCAGAGCCAUAAAAUACUUCCAAAGUGUAAUGUACUCUCUCUCCUAGGGUUUGGUCUACUCUAUUCCACUGCUUGAAAGGGUCAUCCUAUAUUUUUAUCAAAACUUUAGGUGUUUAAAGACAUGAUGUGGUUUUUCAUAUGCAAAAAGAGUUUUGAUUUUGGAGACAUUUUUAAAUUGGGGAUUGAGGUAUACUGAUCUGUCUCUUACCAUGUGUCUAUUUCCUUAGAAAAAAUAAGUACAAUUUGUCAUACACAAGUUAGCUACCACAUACCUGAAGAAAUUAUGUGCAGAUUAUCUUUAAAAGUAGGUGUUGACGUUAUCUUUAAAAAGUUGUUAAAUAGCUCCAAAAUAUUGAGCAAAUGUAAUGUUUCUUUUGAAAAUACAACCCACAUUUCCUUGCAGGAUGAAGUUAUGCUUAAUAGCCUCUGUUUAAUUCAUUCAGAAACUACACGAUUCUUGUUGCUAUAUUUUGUUAAAAAGGAAGGAGAGGCUGUUUCUACAGGUGUUACAGAAAAAUCAAUACUGAGCCACGGAUUAUUGGAUCCCAUAGAACCAUGGAGACUUGGCAGUGAAAUUCUUCCAAAGGCAGACGGUGUUCCUAGGUUUGGAAGUAUAAAUCCCAGGGGAAGUGAGCUGAAGAACAUUUCAUGCAUCACUCAUCCUAUUAUGAGCCCUGUGCUGUUCCAUCUCUCUACAAGACUGGCAGAAACAACAACAAAAACUGUUUAUAAUUUACAUUCUAACUUUGGAUCACCUAGCUCAAACCCUGACUCUGACUACCCAGAGAGACAAGGCUUUGAAGGAAGAAGUAGCUAUUAGAAGGCCGUUUCUGCUUUAUUAAUAAAAUCACAGGGAAAAUGCGACA